rnacentral:rRNA from 1 species
GACGAACGCUGGCGGCGUGCUUAACACAUGCAAGUCGAACGGAAAGGCCCUGCUUUUGUGGGGUGCUCGAGUGGCGAACGGGUGAGUAACACGUGAGUAACCUGCCCUUGACUUUGGGAUAACUUCAGGAAACUGGGGCUAAUACCGGAUAGGAGCUCCUGCUGCAUGGUGGGGGUUGGAAAGUUUCGGCGGUUGGGGAUGGACUCGCGGCUUAUCAGCUUGUUGGUGGGGUAGUGGCUUACCAAGGCUUUGACGGGUAGCCGGCCUGAGAGGGUGACCGGCGACAUUGGGACUGAGAUACGGCCCAGACUCCUACGGGAGGCAGCAGUGGGGAAUAUUGCACAAUGGGCGGAAGCCUGAUGCAGCAACGCCGCGUGCGGGAUGACGGCCUGCGGGUUGUAAACCGCUUUCGCCUGUGACGAAGCGUGAGUGACGGUAAUGGGUAAAGAAGCACCGGCUAACUACGUG